rnacentral:rRNA from 1 species
AUCAAAAACAUGUCCUAUAGAUAUUAAUUUUAGGUUGGGCCUGCUCAAUGAUUUAUUAAAUUGCUAUAGUAUUUUAACUAUACAAAGGUAGCAUAAUAAUUUGUCUUUUAAUUGAAGGCUUGUAUGAAUGGUUUGACGAGGGGUAAACUUUCUUAAUUUAAUAUUAUAUUGAAUUUAAAAUUUUUGUAAAAAGGCUUAAAUGUAGUUGUGGGACGAGAAGACCCUUUAGAAUUUUAAUUAAUAUUGGAAAAUAAUAUUAUGGUUGAAAAAAUAUUAUUUUCCAAUAUUAAUUUUUGUUGGGGUGAUAGUGGAAUAUUUUUAACUUCUAUUAAUUAUAUAAUCAUGAAUUAGUGUAUAAUUGAUCCUUUAUUAUGGAUUAAAAGAUUAAAUUACCUUAGGGAUAACAGCGUUAUUAUUUCGGAGAGUUCUUAUUAAUGAAAUAGUUUGCGACCUCGAUGUUGGAUUAAAGUUAAUUUUAGGUGUAGAAGCUUAAAUAAUUAGGUCUGUUCGACCUUUAAAUCUUUACAUGAUCUGAGUUC